AUUAAAACCAAUAGCAGUACUUUAUGUGUGUAUAUAGUAGUAACAUAUGUGUUUCCUUCCAUGAAAUCACAGUAAGCAAAUAAGCUCCCGUAAUUUCAAAAUGGUGAAGAGCAUAAACGGUAUUUUGAGAUAUCUGAAAUAACUACUAUGAUGGGAAACGGACUUGUAUUGGUGAGAAAGUAACAAACAGUAACUGCUAAUACUACUCUGUUUAUUGCCUCCAUCUAUAACUGAAGAAAACAAAUUUAAGAGGUUAGUGAAAUAAAGAUAAUAGUAUUUUUUUUUCCUUUUUCUGACACAAGUUUUUGAGCCCCUUGGAUUCUACCAUGGACCUCAGGUUUAAAAUGCCUGAUGGAAAGGGAAGCCCUGUUUUUGCCAGUCCCCAGUCCACAGGAUUUAGAAAGUCCUCCAUGCACUCCCAGAAAGACUGUAAUGGCUGUGGAGUUGUUUUAAUGAUUACUUGACCAUUCACUUGUUUCAUAAAUCUCGGAGAACCAUGUUCUCUUUAAUGGAGAGGAAAAGGAGAAGAGUCAAUGCUUUCUUUCCUAUUCCCAGCUGUGUUUAUGUUGCCUCUAGAGAAGAACUUCAAAAUAAUAGGAAAGAAAAGGGACAAACCCUAAGAAGAUAACCAAUGUAGAGCAUAUAGUGACAGAAUGAAAUAGCCCCAUUUAAAAUGAACCGUGGUCUAGUCAUGUCCUUUUACAAGUGAGCAAACAAAGCCGGACAAGUUACCUGACUGCAGUGAGUUACAAAAAGAGUUCAUGAUGGGAUGCCAGGGAGGCUUAGUCCGUCGAGCAUCCCACUCUUGAUCUUGGCUCAGGUUGUGAUCUCGGGGUCCUGGGAUUGAGCCCCACAUGGGCCUCCAUGCUUAGUGUGGAGUCUGCUUGAGAUUUUCUCUCUCCCUCUGUCCCUCCCCCUGCUCACUCAUACAUACUCUCUCUGAGGUAAAUUUAAAAGUCUAAAACAAAACAAAACAAAAAAAAGUUUGUGGAAAAGCUGGCUUUCUGUUCUCACAGUCCCCAGUAUUUUUUACCCUAUCACAUUGGGCUCUGCUGUAGCACCCAUCAAAUAGGCUCCUGUAAUCAUGUUCUUUAAAUUUUUUUUCUUAUGGAUCCCAUAAAAAGGUUUUAGAAAGAUUAUGUAUCCUCUUGUACAGUUUUAAGUUGUUGAAAAUUUGUCAUGAGUUUAAGAAAUUAUGAACAAUAUAAUAUCUGGCAUG